rnacentral:rRNA from 1 species
AUGCAAGUCGAACGAGGUCCAACUUGUAGCAAUACAAGGGAAGACCUAGUGGCGAACGGGUGAGGAACACGUGAGAAAUUUGCCCCGAACUCUGGGAUAACAGUUGGAAACGACUGCUAAUACCGGAUGCCGUUACGAAGUGGCAUCACUUUGUAACGAAAGAAUUUCGGUUCGGGAGAAUCUCGCGGCCUAUCAGCUUGUUGGUGAGGUAAUGGCUCACCAAGGCAACGACGGGUAGCUGGUCUGAGAGGAUGAUCAGCCACACUGGGACUGAGACACGGCCCAGACUCCUACGGGAGGCAGCAGUGGGGAAUCUUGUGCAAUGGACGAAAGUCUGACACAGCCACGCCGCGUGCGGGAAGAAGGCCUUCGGGUUGUAAACCGCUUUCAGCAGGAACGAAAAUGACGGUACCUGCAGAAGAAGAUGCGGCCAACUACGUGCCAGCAGCCGCGGUGACACGUAGGCAUCAAGCGUUGUCCGGAUUUAUUGGGCGUAAAGAGCUCGUAGGCGGUUUAGUAAGUCGGGUGUGAAAACUCUGGGCUUAACCCAGAGCCUGCACUCGAAACUGCUAUGACUAGAGUUCGGUAGGGGAGUGGGGAAUUCCUGGUGUAGCGGUGAAAUGCGCAGAUAUCAGGAGGAACACCGAUGGCGAAAGCACCACUCUGGGCCGAUACUGACGCUGAGGAGCGAAAGCGUGUGUAGCAAACAGGAUUAGAUACCCUGGUAGU